rnacentral:rRNA from 1 species
GCAUAUCAAUAAGCGGAGGAAAAGAAACCAACAGGGAUUGCCCUAGUAACGGCGAGUGAAGCGGCAACAGCUCAAAUUUGAAAUCUGGCGUCUUUGGCGUCCGAGUUGUAAUUUGCAGAGGGCGCUUUGGCAUUGGCAGCGGUCCAAGUUCCUUGGAACAGGACGUCACAGAGGGUGAGAAUCCCGUACGUGGUCGCUAGCCUUUACCGUGUAAAGCCCCUUCGACGAGUCGAGUUGUUUGGGAAUGCAGCUCUAAAUGGGAGGUAAAUUUCUUCUAAAGCUAAAUACUGGCCAGAGACCGAUAGCGCACAAGUAGAGUGAUCGAAAGAUGAAAAGCACUUUGGAAAGAGAGUUAAAAAGCACGUGAAAUUGUUGAAAGGGAAGCGCUUGCAGCCAGACUUGCCUGUAGUUGCUCAUCCGGGUUUUUACCCGGUGCACUCUUCUAUAGGCAGGCCAGCAUCAGUUUGGGCGGUUGGAUAAAGGUCUCUGUCAUGUACCUCUCUUCGGGGAGAACUUAUAGGGGAGACGACAUGCAACCAGCCUGGACUGAGGUCCGCGCAUCUGCUAGGAUGCUGGCGUAAUGGCUGUAAGCGGCCCGUCUUGAAACACGGACCAAGGAGUCUAACAUCUAUGCGAGUGUUUGGGUGUCAAGCCCGAGCGCGUAAUGAAAGUGAACGGAGGUGGGAACCUUUCGGGGUGCACCAUCGACCGAUCCUGAUGUCUUCGGAUGGAUUUGAGUAAGAGCAUAGCUGUUGGGACCCGAAAGAUGGUGAACUAUGCUUGAAUAGGGUGAAGCCAGAGGAAACUCUGGUGGAGGCUCGCAGCGGUUCUGACGUGCAAAUCGAUCGUCAAAUUUGGGCAUAGGGGCGAAAGACUAAUCGAACUAUCUAGUAGCUGGUUCCUGCCGAA